UGAUGAAGUUCCUCCAGCAACCGCUC
rnacentral:sRNA from 1 species